UGGGGAAUAUUGGACAAUGGGCGAAAGCCUGAUCCAGCCAUGCCGCGUGUGUGAAGAAGGUCUUCGGAUUGUAAAGCACUUUAAGUUGGGAGGAAGGGCAUUAACCUAAUACGUUAGUGUUUUGACGUUACCGACAGAAUAAGCACCGGCUAACUCUGUGCCAGCAGCCGCGGUAAUACAGAGGGUGCAAGCGUUAAUCGGAAUUACUGGGCGUAAAGCGCGCGUAGGUGGUUUGUUAAGUUGGAUGUGAAAUCCCCGGGCUCAACCUGGAAACUGCAUUCAAAACUGACUGACUAGAGUAUGGUAGAGGGUGGUGGAAUUUCCUGUGUAGCGGUGAAAUGCGUAGAUAUAGGAAGGAACACCAGUGGCGAAGGCGACCACCUGGGCUAAUACUGACACUGAGGUGCGAAAGCGUGGGGAGCAAACA
rnacentral:rRNA from 1 species